GGCAACAAAGACGCAGAAGCUGCGCAUCGUCUUCUUUAGAAACUCGACACCAGAGAACGACCCCCACCCCCUCGCAUCUGUCUCCUCCAAUCACCCCUCUCUCCACUGCUUUUCGUCAACAGCAACACCAUAACAAGGAGCUGCUGCUGCUUCUCCAUCUUGCGACCCCUCGCCGGAAACCAGUCCACAAACGACUACCCCGAGCUUCAUCUUGGCUAUACCAUUCGAACACACAGACAUACACGAAAACAACAGGGCGGGAAAGGGAUUGAAACAGAAGCUCCGGCUUCCAUCCAUGGUCAAAACGACCUCAUCCUUCGUUCUUCCUCACCCUAUGCCAUCGCUAACAGUUUGGUGACAGAUCUGGCCGAAAAAAUGCCAUAUCCGGCGAGCUUCACCUUCGCACGCACACAGUCACGCACAUGAACGGAGUGAGGGAGCGAGCAUAAGGCAGCUGAAGUUUUGGGGUCGUUUAUGAGUUCGAGUCACCGAGGUCGAGUUUUCCGGCGUGGUCUUUGGUUGACGGGUUUGUUCGGGGUUGUCGCCGGUAUGUGUUUGAGGUUCUAUUCUUCGGUCAUGUGGCAUAGUCGAGUUUUACUGAGAUAACAGAGGUGUGGAUUUAUUUACCGGAGUUUGAACAUGACAGAUACCCCGGGAUCACUACAUUCGGGAGUUGCCUGAGGAGUUUUUUUUUAUGUUUUAGAGUCUUUUGUUCAUGUUUUACUUUCUAGUCUUGUACAGUACUAUUCAGUCAUUUAGUUAAUUUUUGAGUUUGUAAUAGUCUAGUUAAAUUUGCCGAGUGUUUUGUUAUUGUAUUUGGAAAUGUGUUACAAGUCAAAAAUCCAAAAAAAAAAAGAGAUGUUGCAUUUUAUA